rnacentral:rRNA from 1 species
AUUGAACGCUGGCGGCAUGCCUUACACAUGCAAGUCGAACGGCAGCACGGGUGCUUGCACCUGGUGGCGAGUGGCGAACGGGUGAGUAAUACAUCGGAACAUGUCCUGUAGUGGGGGAUAGCCCGGCGAAAGCCGGAUUAAUACCGCAUACGAUCCACGGAUGAAAGCGGGGGACCUUCGGGCCUCGCGCUAUAGGGUUGGCCGAUGGCUGAUUAGCUAGUUGGUGGGGUAAAGGCCUACCAAGGCGACGAUCAGUAGCUGGUCUGAGAGGACGACCAGCAACAAGGGGACUGAGACACGGUCCAGACUCCUACGGGAGGAAGCAGUGGGGAAUUUUGGACAAUGGGCGCAAGCCUGACCCAGCAAUGCCGCGUGUGUGAAGAAGGCCUUCGGGUUGUAAAGCAAUUUUGUCCGGAAAGAAAUCCUUGGCUCUAAUACAGUCGGGAGAUGACGGUACCGGAAGAAUAAGCACCGGCUAACUACGUG